GGCUCUGAUACUUGAGAGAGAAUGCUCACUUGGAUUCCAUUUCAGAACAAAUUUGAUGGUCUCACAAAAUUCAUCCAAGUGUGCCUGAUAAGCUAAUAUCAUGUCUCCAGCAUCUUGUAUUGAGUAUUUGUUCACUAUAGUCUCCAAUAGAGCAACAUUAGUGAUAGAACACUCAUCCUCAAUCACUUCCAUUAUAUCAUCAAAGCUAUUGGCAUCUUUCAAUCGCGGCUUUAAUUCUGGACGACAUCUUCCAAGGUAAGUUUUAAGGUGAGUCAAAGACGGAAUUGAUUUUUCAAUAAGAGGAGCAAUAUCAUCAAUAAGUGUACCACGCAAAUCACCCAUUCUAUCAAACUCAGCUUUAUAGCCAGGAUGAACUAUGACCUCUACUACACCUAUAUUAUAGCGUAAUGACAUUGAAUUGUGUAUAUAAUAAUUAAUUUUACUAACCAUGUGCAGUAGCAUCAGUGUUGGUAUUUACUUGAAUCUCACUACUACUAUCUUGUAAUUGUUGAGAUGCUGUAUUUAUCAGUUAUAAUAGCAAGUGUAUAAUACCCAGUAAUUAUAUCAUUACCUGAAAAUGAUGAAGUAUUUGUUUGUUGACAAGGUGGCAUUACCGCUACUGCUGAAGGAAAUGAAUUUCCUAUUGCAUUAGAAUAAUUAUAAAUAAGCGAAGAAAGUGUAUUUAUAAAACUGUUCAUUUACCAUAUUUCAUUAUUAUAUCACUAGCUAAAGACACUGCUUCCUUUGAUUUCAUUAGAAUGCUUGUCAGAGUACAUAACUUGUUGUGAUCUUCAGCUACAGCACUUAAUAUUAGUAACAUUGGAUCUCCUACCAAUGAAAAACCACAACUCUUUACUUCUGCUAAUGUAUCCUUAGAUAUCAAUCCCUCUGUAUGUAAGAGAUCAACUGAUUCCUCAGUAAGAACAACUUGAGCUAGUCUACCAAUAUAACCCUGCAACAUCUCACUAACAGGAUCUGCCACUAU